CCCGAGGGCUUAUGAACCACUGCAGUCUGACAGUGCUGACCUCUUGAUCAUCUUGCUGUAAAACCUCAAGGUUCGAGUCUCUUGGGGAAAAUUGGCUCAGUGUUGGGCUGAGUGACAGCAUCAAGGAAGCGAUCAUGAUGAACAUGUCAUCGACACCAACACCUGCAAGAAAAAGAGUUAACCCUGCAUUGCACAAGGCAGCUUCCCCUGACACCCAGCAAAAGCACAAAAUAAACAGCAUUUAAGGCUACAUGGAAUUAAAAAAAAUAAUAAAAGAGAGUGGGCUACUAGCAUUGCUUUAGUGCUGAUGCAAGUUAAACAUACAGGAAAACACGUCCUUUGUAUGCAGAUGGCUCUGUUACCUUUCAAAAACUCAUAGUGACUGGAUGGAUUGUUGAUCUCUCACCCUGUUCUGCUGAAGGACUGAGCACUCCUAGUUCAUCGCCUGACAAGUGUUUUGUGUCUGUUGUCCAUGUGCCCACAGAUGCAAAUUCCAGAUUUAUACAUCGUUUAUUCUGAUGCUUUACUAUUCUUAUCAGUAGAAGCAUCUCCUACUGUCCCUGGCAUCUCUUCACCACUGCAACAAAUUAGACCAAUAAUUUCUUGCUCUGUCUUCAGCAGACAGUGAGAAGCUGGAAGAAGUCCCAAGCACUUCAAGAGGUACGAAGAAUACACAGCAAGUUUGUUACACUGGCAAAAUACUUAUUUAAUUGCUUUUAGAAUUACAGCAAGUCAAUGAACAAAGCACUCCACUUGAGAGAAAAAAAAAAAGCCCGAAAGGACUGCAUGAAUAGAACAUGGAGAGUAACUGGUUAAGUGGUAGAAACAGAUCUAAGUGGAGGGAAGAAGGAUAGGAAAUGUUGGGCUAGACAAUAAGCAGAGAAGAGCAUAAUGAGCCAAGGAUGGCAAGAACACAUUAGCAAGAAAGACAAACGGACAAGUGCCAGUUCAUGAAUAAAGGCAGCUUAGUGGCAGGUGGCUGAAAGUACUUUGAUCUUCCCUGAACCUCUCCUAGAAACUGCAUUCUGCAAAGCAUGGUACAGCUGAAUGUAACAGCUGGUGUAUUUAGAUAAACCAAACUUGGAGUUCCCCACUAUGUCCGGGUUUAAAAAAAUCAGAUCUCUCUGCUGUGAGCAAGAUAGUGUCCAGGAAAGAGGUGUGCUGGGGCUGUAUCCUCUCUUUGAUAGUCUGUUUGCACGUUUAAAUCAUCCUGUUAGAAGGCAGCAUGAUAACAGUCCGCAAAUUAAUAAAGGAUUGAUAAAAAAAAUCAAUUACCUUUGAUAUAUAUGAAAGAACAAGAAAUGAUCAACUUAACGCUAUCAGGGACACCUCAAAAGUUAUUGAGAUAAUCGUUAAAAACACCUUCCUGUUUAAUUUUCAAUAAGUUCUUAAAAACAUUUGGCAGGAGUGGUUUACUUAGAUCCUACCUUGCAGCAGGGAGUGUGCCCUCACGACGUUCCCUCUAGGCCCCAACUUCUUAUUCUGAUGAAAUAGAUUCCUUCAAAAAGCAGCUUCUGGCAUAUAGUAAUUAAAUAGCGAUCUCAGCGUUCAGCCCUCCCGCUUGUGCCUAUGUAUACUUCUGACAUUGUGAAGGAAAGCUUGAAACAUAACCCAAAUAAACCCUAAAAACAAGUGGCUGUG